CGGAGUGGACGCAUCACUGGUGUUCGGGUUGUCAUGCCAAUGGCACUGCCCGGUAGCUAAAUGCGGAAGAGAUAAGUGCUGAAAGCAUCUAAGCACGAAACUUGCCCCGAGAUGAGUUCUCCCUGACCCUUUAAGGGUCCUGAAGGAACGUUGAAGACGACGACGUUGAUAGGCCGGGUGUGUAAGCGCAGCGAUGCGUUGAGCUAACCGGUACUAAUGAACCGUGAGGCUUAACCUUACAACGCCGAAGRUGUU
rnacentral:rRNA from 1 species